ACGGAGGAUCCGAGCGUUAUCCGGAUUUAUUGGGUUUAAAGGGAGCGUAGGCGGACGCUUAAGUCAGUUGUGAAAGUUUGCGGCUCAACCGUAAAAUUGCAGUUGAUACUGGGUGUCUUGAGUGCAGCAGAGGUAGGCGGAAUUCGUGGUGUAGCGGUGAAAUGCUUAGAUAUCACGAAGAACUCCGAUUGCGAAGGCAGCUUACUGGACUGUAACUGACGCUGAUGCUCGAAAGUGUGGGUAUCAAA
rnacentral:rRNA from 1 species